rnacentral:rRNA from 1 species
ACUCCAUGAAGCUGGAUUCGCUAGUAAUCGCGCAUCAGCCACGGCGCGGUGAAUACGUUCCCGGGCCUUGUACACACCGCCCGUCAAGCCAUGGAAGCCGGGAGUGCCUGAAGUGUGCAACCGCAAGGAGCGCCCUAAGGUAAAACCGGUGACUGGGGCUAAGUCGUAACAAGGUACC